rnacentral:lncRNA from 1 species
UAUUUUUAUUUUUUAAUUGUAUUUUCUUUUAAAAUUCAUAGAAAAAUCAUUUUACAUCCCAAAAAUCCCAAAAUAAUUUCUAAAAUUCUGUUUUAUUUUUCUCCAUCUGAUUUUUAUUUUUCCACAUUUUAUUUUAUUAAUUUUCUAUUUUUCAUGGAAUUUCUAUUUUCUCCUUUAUUUAAAUUGGUUUAAAAUUACUUUUCUGCAAUUUUAAAUUAUGAAAAAUUUAUUAUAUGCUUCUU